UACGUAGGGUGCAAGCGUUGUCCGGAAUUAUUGGGCGUAAAGAGCUCGUAGGCGGUUUGUCGCGUCUGGUGUGAAAAUCCAGGGCUUAACCCUGGACCUGCAUCGGGUACGGGCAGACUAGAGUGCGGUAGGGGAGAUCGGAAUUCCUGGUGUAGCGGUGAAAUGCGCAGAUAAUCAGGAGGAACACCGGUGGCGAAGGCGGAUCUCUGGGCCGUAACUGACGCUGAGGAGCGAAAGCAUGGGGAGCGAACAGG
rnacentral:rRNA from 1 species